GAAGACGACUGCCGGGGCGGUUUCUUUGCUUUGUUUUUUUUUUCUCUGUUUUGUUUUUUUUUCCCUUUAGUUGGUGUACGUACCCCCUGGGUAACCCGGAGUGGCUUGCAUGACUGGACAAUGAACGGCCACAUCCCAGGUGACAUCCCAGGUAACAUCCUCUGAGCUCUCUGCAUUGCCCGCGAUCCUUUCGAAAACAUGACGCCCAGAAAUGAACGUAAUUCUCCAAUGGAGGACUCACCAACAAUUUCUAACAAUGCUGCCAGACCUGCUUGGCUUUUCCAGCAACUUCCAGCAAAUGUUUUAGGCCAUGGAUCAAGAAGACAACUGGAGUCAGG